CUUUCUCAUAAACCCUAUACGCAACUACUCCUUCUUCUUCUUUAUUCGCGUGGUUUCAUGGGAGAGAUCACUGAUUUUUUGAUUCGAUUAUAUUAUAAUCUAACAAGUAAUUCUUCUGUGUCCGCCACCUCUUUCAUUCUUCUGAAUUCUCUUCUGAAACCAAACCCUCUUCUAGGUUCUCUCUUCAAAUUCCGGUCCUAUUGUUGGGUGUUAAUGAACUUUCUCUGAGGAAUUUCUUCCAUUGAAGCAAAGCUAUUGGUUAGGGAUGAUACUGCUGCUGUCGUUGAAGAAUCCCUGAUGAUUUCACGGAUUUUCCUUUUUGAGGUCUUUGAAGCGAAAUUUGAAGGAAUCGGGAGCAGUUUUGAGAUCGAGGGAUACGGAUAAAGCUUAAGAAAGGGAUGAUGAUGGUUGUGCUGAUUGUUUUGGUUGACUAAAACUCAUGCGAAGGUAAAUCAGAAUACAUAAAUUAGGAUUUGUCAAUUGACUCUUGAAUUGAAUUAUAAACUGAGUAAUUAGUGAUGGGUUUGUUCUUAAUUGAAGAAUAGAGAAUUCUAUAGGGUUCGAUUUUAGUUUCUUUUGGAAAUUGAAAUCUUAAGUUAGGGUUUUUGUGAAUUGAAUCAGAAAUUUUGGGCAAAGUUGAAUCAGAAGGAAAAGAAGAAACGUGCUAAAACCCUGUAAUUGUUAUCUCUGCAGGGGUUUCUUAGGUCUGAAUUCGAUCUAAACUAAUGUAAUACGGUUACCAAUUAUGAUAAUUAGGAUUGAAAUCUUAACUUUACGCCCAAUUUUUAUUGAUUCGAUACUUUGAAUCUCACUUGCUGGGGUUGCUGUUGGUGCUGGAUGGCAAAGUGUCAUAGCUUAUGUGAACCUAGCCUGCUAUUACUUGGUCAGAAUUCCUCUUCAAGUGAUCCUCGGUUACCUUAUCGAUUUUCAAGUUACAGUAAUUUAUUUACUAAAAGUUUGUCUAUGCUAAACCAUAAAGCAAUCCUGAGUGAUAUAGCCAGCAAGUACUCUGAUGGUAAACAACGGCUGUGUGACAAUGUGAGGUCAGUCUAUUAUCUACUUUAAGUCUCUGCACCUAUUGGAAAAAGUGCUAUUUAAAAAAGUACAGCAGAAAAUGUUGCUUCCAAUGAGAUACGGUUUUCUGACUUUAAUUGGUCAAGUGCUACUUUGUUUGAAACUAACUCGAGUAUGCUAUUGUAUCUAAUGUAUAGCUUCAUUGCCUACUGAAUCUGCCACCCACUGUGGAAGACUUGAUGCAGACUUGAGUAUCAUCAAUACUUCAUUGGGAACGCCAAUUCAAAAGGGAUUGUUACCGAAUUUGUCAGUUCACGUGUACUGGAAUUUUUUUCUUUCGUAUUUUUUUCCAGCAAGAUAAUUUGCUGAAAUAUAGUGUGUAUGGGGUUGCAACAGCCUAGAGGUACUAUUGUUUCUUACCGUUUAAUCGUGAUUAUGUACAUGAAAUCUCUAGGAUUAAAAUUUAUUCAUGUCUUUCCAUUAAGGGGGUGUGUCUUUACAUGCAGGGAUAUUCAAGUGAUAGUAUAGUUGUAUAUGGGAUCAAGUUAUUGAAUUCUUCACCUAAUAAAAUCUUAUACCAGACUGUGGAGGUUAAUGUUUGUGGUUGCAUUAGAGGCUUGGUAAAAUUCGCAAGGCUGGCAAUGGUUUGCAUUAAUUCUUUCAAAUUUUGUAACUCAAUUUUGUAUUAUUUUAUUUUUGAAAAGGUUGCGGAUUUGGAUUUUGUUUUUGAUUGUUCUUCCACCAGAUGAAUCAAAAUACUUCACUUAUAAUAAGUAGGAUCAUCCAGACAGGUAGUCAAUUUGAAGGUACAGAGGCCCCAUCACAGUAAAGGUUGGAAACAAGGACGGCGAACUGUUGGCAUUUACAAAUUAUUGAUCUGGUGACAUUUUGCGUAAUGCUGGAAGGCCAGCUAUUUUCCUAUUGGUUGAUAACACUGCCAACAGACCUCUUUAAGGUGUGUCUUCUUAAUACAUUGAGUCUUUUUUGGAAAGUUGAUGUCAACUGUAAUCAUUAUUUUUGUUUUAUAAUCUGACAUUGUAUCAUUCUAUAUAUCCUUAGUUUACUAUUUUAGCAUGAGAGUGAAUGUGUACCAGCAGGUGUAUACCGAGGCACAACUAGCACCUCAUUGUAAGUUUGGUUGUUCAAUAAGUAUCGAUCCUUGCGUAGUUCAUACUUAUUGAUUUAUUAAAAAUUAUAUGCCAGCUUUGAGUAAUAAUGAACCAAUAACAAAAGUGGAUGGUGGUCGUACUGUUAAGGGUGGAAUAGUGCUCUUGCAACAAACCAAAAAAAUAUAAACAAAAAGCUUCUCUUAACCUAUAAUUAUACCUCCAUACUUUAUUUUGCACGCAUCUUUAGCCUGCAACAACUAGAUAUGUUUCACCUGUAAUUUGUUCUACCGGGGGAAUUGAUCAAGUCUUUUCUGUAUAGCGUAAACUGGAGCAUACUUCAACAAAGUACAGUUGAUAUCCCUUUCUCAUGCAAAGAUAAAUGAAGUAAAUCACUAAGUGCAAUGUUAUUGUCUUCUUAUUUAUUUCUAUAUUUUGUUCUAGGGAAUCUUGAUUUGCGCUUUUUUCACUUUCUGUAUGCAUGGAAAUCCGCUAGGGGAAUCCAAAUACUACCCACAUUUAGGGAGUCUUUUAACGUAUGUACUCAAGCUAAGAGGAAUUUAGUUCCACCUUCAAGUAGUGCUAUUUAAUUGUUCAAUUUUUCUGCUUUUGGCAGGUAUGGGUAAAUUAUUGUUACUUUAGGAUGUGGAUUUGCAAUGAAAAUUUAAUUAUUAAUUUUUGUUCUCCCAAUGUCGUAGGAAUCAUCUCAGAUUUUUUGCCUUUGUCUUUAGUGCUGGAGGAUGUCAUGCCUCAUCUGAUCAGGACCAUGGAGAUAGGUAUUUUCAUAUUAAAAUUAUAUCAGUUGAUUAUUUGGUUUUCAUUAAGAUGGUUUCCCUCGAAAAAGGUUCUUUGCUCUCACUUUUUUCCUUGACUAAUUGAUUUGGGCCAGUUGGCCCUGUACAAAAUUCAUUCUUUAUGAUGUUUUUCAUGCGUACCUAUCAUUUUGACGUGGAUAUUUUUCAUAAAAUAUCAUUAGCUUUUA